rnacentral:rRNA from 1 species
GACGAACCGAGCGAACGUUGUUCGGAAUCACUGGGCUUAAAAGGGCGCGUAGGCGGACUGCCGCGUCCGGGGUGAAAUCCCACCGGCUCAACCGUGGAAGUGCCUUUGAUACUGGUGGUCUGGAGUGGGGUAGGGGCAUGCGGAACUGGUGGUGGAGCGGUGAAAUGCGUAGAUAUCACUAGGAACGCCGGUGGCGAAAGCGGCGUGCUGGACCCCAACUGACGCUGAGGCGCGAAAGCCAGGGGAGCAAACGGG